UACGGGGGGAGCAAGCGUUGUUCGGAUUUACUGGGCGUAAAGGGCUCGUAGGUGGCCAACUAAGUCAGACGUGAAAUCCCUCGGCUUAACCGGGGAACUGCGUCUGAUACUGGAUGGCUUGAGUUUGGGAGAGGGAUGCGGAAUUCCAGGUGUAGCGGUGAAAUGCGUAGAUAUCUGGAGGAACACCGGUGGCGAAGGCGGCAUCCUGGACCAACACUGACACUGAGGAGUGAAAGCCAGGGGAGCAAACGGG
rnacentral:rRNA from 1 species